GCGCCGGUGGUGUAAGGCGAACAUCGCUGCCCGGAAAGCAGAAGAUGCGGGUUCGAGUACCGCCUGGCACA
rnacentral:tRNA from 1 species